GCAGCUGUUGAGAGGAAACUUCUCAGG
rnacentral:piRNA from 1 species